rnacentral:tRNA from 1 species
GUGGUUGUGGCUCAGUGGUAAUGUGCUUGCCUAGCAUGCAUGAGGCACUGGGUUUGAUUCUCAGCACCACA